rnacentral:rRNA from 1 species
UACGAAGGGGGCUAGCGUUGCUCGGAAUCACUGGGCGUAAAGGGUGCGUAGGCGGGUUUUUAAGUCAGGGGUGAAAUCCUGGAGCUCAACUCCAGAACUGCCUUUGAUACUGAAGAUCUUGAGUUCGGGAGAGGUGAGUGGAACUGCGAGUGUAGAGGUGAAAUUCGUAGAUAUUCGCAAGAACACCAGUGGCGAAGGCGGCUCACUGGCCCGAUACUGACGCUGAGGCACGAAAGCGUGGGAGCAAACAGG